rnacentral:lncRNA from 1 species
AAUUGAGAAGCUUCACUGAAGGAGGACUCUAGCUAAUUUUGCAAUGAAAUACCCAUCACAUAGAACAGAACUGGAAUCUGACAACUCAGUCGGGAUUUCUUGAUGUUCUUUCAGAUUUGAAAGCUGACCAAGAGAUGAGUGGCCAUAUUGACGAACAACGUGCAGAUCUUCUCCUGUUAAAGUGAAAGGGGUUUUGUAACCAACUUCAGGAUUUAAACCUUGCCUAUACUUUUUCUUAACUUAAUAUGUUCUAAAAUUCCC